rnacentral:rRNA from 1 species
UACGAAGGGUGCAAGCGUUGCCCGGAAUUAUUGGGCGUAAAGGGUUGGUAGGUGGUCUGAUUUGUCAGGGGUGAAAGCCUUGAGCUUAACUCAAGAAGUGCCCCUGAAACGGUCAGACUGGAGUCUUGGAGAGGGUCGUGGAAUUCCCGGUGUAGCGGUGAAAUGCGUAGAGAUCGGGAGGAACACCAGUGGCGAAGGCGACUACCUGGCCUGUUCUUGACGCUGAGGCGCGAAAGCUAGGGGAGCAAACGGG